rnacentral:lncRNA from 1 species
GUCUACGUCAUCAAACGUCACGAUGAAAUUUCAAAAUGGCUGCCUGUUUAAUAGCCAUUUGUCUCUGUGUUUGCUCUGUAAUAGUUAGUCAUCAAUCUGUCAUUUCCUACGCCGGGACGUCUUUGACUUUUUAACUUUCCUUUAUCAAUUUGUGCGUUUAUCAGCAGUUAUACUUGGAGAUUCUGUGAUUGUGAUCUUUUCUAUUUGCUCUAAAGCAUUCAUUAAUAACUCCUAUUUUCAAUUACAUACAUCCGGUCCCAUUUGGUUUUCAAAAUGAGUGUGCCAGCGUAUCAAGAUAUCCUUGCAGGGCCGCUUGCAACUUACUGCGAGCUUUCGAAAAAAAUCGGCGGCGAUGUUGCCACUCAUGCUCAACUAGUCGCUCAAGCUUUUCAGUAAGUUUUUUAAGCCCUUACUCGUUUCAAAAUUGGCAAAACAAAUUUUUUUUUGGAAAAAGGAAGCAUAUUUAACCAUAUUGGGGCCGCCUGGGUGUCGACAACUCCGGAAUUUCCGGAGAGUCCGGAUAUAGUACUGAUUUUGUAAGGGUGGUCCGGAAGUACUGAAAAAGUGCCGAAAUUCCGCAAGAAGGUCCGGAAUUUUUUUCAUUUUUUAUCCUUUUUGUCGCAAUUUGAACGAGUAAUUCAAAAUUUUGAAAUAUUUCGCAUUUCUUCAAUUGGAAGUACUCACUGAAAAAGUACCGAAUUUUUCUGUUGAGGAGGCACUGAAUUUCUUGGGAAUGUACUGAAAGAGUACUGUAAAAGUUCUAAUUUUUGAACAGUCUGUCUUAGUAGACACCCUGGCCGCGUGAAAGCUAAUUACAGCUCAGUCAUUACGAGUGCAUUGAAAUAUAUUACUGCAACUGAAAAGCUCUCUGCCAACAGUUAUCAUACUUUCAAGAGUUAGCUGUUAGUAUGAUAAGUAGGCAGGGAAUCGUGUUUGUAGUUAUUUGAGGAGACAAUCCAGUCAGAUCAAAUUAGCAGUGGCGAAGCGUGAACCGCCAGCUUUCGAUAUUUUCUCAUUUCAAGCCGUGAGCAAGAAUCGAUAAGUGAAGCUUUUGUCGCGAACACCCUGAUGAUCGACCCUUCUCCACUGGUUUAAAUGGCACAUCAAUCGAUUCAUCGCAAAGCGCGACGUGCCACUGCAAAUUAGUUCUCAGUCGCGUCUCUUUCGAUGCAUACUCAUGGCAAUGACUCAUUCUGCAAACACGAAAGUAAUUAUACUAUGAUGCACCUGUUUAUUGCCAGAGUCCGUUUCCUAUCUUAUCGCGAUUGCCAAGUAUAUUUCUCCAUUUCUGAUUAGUUUCUAUUUUUUUUAAGCGUGUAAGGAUCUGAAUUGUGCUGAACAGUCGCUCACGAAUUAUCGGUUGGAGCUCCUUCCUUGAUCGUGCAGUACUGCAUUUGUUGACUGACACGGUGGCUGUAUUUCUUAUUGUCCAUUUUAGCAUUGAGAAUAAGAGGCAAAUAGACAAGAACACGCCGAUACACGUACCUUUGCUGAAGUGCAAAAAGUACACCCCCCAAAACGUACCUUUGCUGAAGUGCACAAAGUACACCCCCCAAAAAUAGAAUAAUACGACAGGGUAAUAACUAAAAUCAUGCGUAAACUAAGGCAAACAUUUAAACUAAACUCAGGAAGCAGGACGUUUCAAGCCGCGCAGGCUCAUUUUCAGCUGCAAAAACAACACAAAUUACUAAACAAAAUUGAGUGGAAACUUGCGCUACUUUCCUAAAUAUUUUUUUUUUUUCAUCCGAUUCCCAUCAUUUCCCUUUUGCUUUCCUCCCUGGUCCAGUCCAAACUGGACCAUUUUCCCCUUUUUGGAAGAUGCACAAGAGACGACAUUUUCGCCAACUUUUGACGUAGAAACUCAUCUUCAGGCCAAGCGUACAAUGUUCUACUGUUUGUAAGAUUUUACCAUCAAAACACAAUUCUACGAAAUGCGCAACUGACAUGACACCGCAUGCUUGAUUCUCCUACGUGCAUCAGAAUAUUUUCCCAGAGGGUAUUAAACCAACCGUUGAAAUGGCAACGCUGUUUUUAAUAGGACCGCGCCAUUUUUUUCUCUUUUUCGAAUAAUAAUAACAGUUACGUUUAAUGAACGAUAAUAACUCACUCAUCCUCAUCGUUUAGUCUUCAUUAAGCUACAACCUACCGGAAACAACUUUCAUACGGUGGGCUGGUGUUUACUCGCAGUGCCCCGUGAAACUAAAACCACGUAAAUGCAAUGCAGACCUCGUGUAGAUUUGUGGUGUUUGCCUAAAGCAGGGCCGUUGAUUAACUUCUGAGGUAGGGGUAAGAGCUUUCGGUGGC